rnacentral:rRNA from 1 species
AGUGAACGCUGGCGGUAGGCCUAACACAUGCAAGUCGAACGGCAGCACAGUAAGAGCUUGCUCUUACGGGUGGCGAGUGGCGGACGGGUGAGGAAUACAUCGGAAUCUACUUUUUCGUGGGGGAUAACGUAGGGAAACUUACGCUAAUACCGCAUACGACCUACGGGUGAAAGCAGGGGAUCUUCGGACCUUGCGCGAUUGAAUGAGCCGAUGUCGGAUUAGCUAGUUGGCGGGGUAAAGGCCCACCAAGGCAACGAUCCGUAGCUGGUCUGAGAGGGUGAUCGGCCACACUGGAACUGAGACACGGUCCAGACUCCUACGGGAGGCAGCAGUGGGGAAUAUUGGACAAUGGGCGCAAGCCUGAUCCAGCCAUACCGCGUGGGUGAAGAAGGCCUUCGGGUUGUAAAGCCCUUUUGUUGGGAAAGAAAAGCAGCAGGUUAAUACCCCGCUGUUCUGACGGUACCCAAAGAAUAAGCACCGGCUAACUUCGUG